GGAGAUGUAGCUCAGUAGUAGAGUACUUAAUUAGCAUGUGUACAGCCCUAGGUUCAAUCCCUAGUAUCCCCC
rnacentral:tRNA from 1 species